UGAGAGUCUAUUGUUGUUCAGGAUCUC
rnacentral:piRNA from 1 species